rnacentral:lncRNA from 1 species
GCGGCCGCUCGCGGGGUGCGCCGGGGGCUCCGAUGGGAACCGAGCGCGGGGGGCCCGGGACCACACAGAGACCACUGAGCUUAGAAGAAGCUGAGUCUCUUUGUGUCUUAUCACAGCUGUAAAGAAUACCUCCCACAAACAAUGCAGGUGGCUUAAAACAAAGGACAUAGGCUCUUCUGCAGUUCUGGGACUAUUGAAGUCUGAAGGCAUACCCUUGGCAACUGGACAGUGUAACCCCGUAUACGGCUUCUAAAGGAAGAGUAAUGAGGACCAGGAGCGUUCCAAAGGAGAUGAGGAACCAUCUGUUGCUAAGGAAGAGUCACAACCUUUGCAAUCUGUUGAGCCAAGUUCGAAUCCCAGCACUGCCUCCUACUAAAGUGGAUGCUAUGGUUAGUGGGGUGUUCAGAGACAGAAUGUGUAUAGAAGACCACUAGUCCUGAUCACGUAGUUUAGUGUGCCAUACAGACAUUUUAAAAGGCAAAGUUAAGUGGAAUUGCAGGCUGCCCUCAUAAAUUUCAUGGAAAGGCCAAGGCGGAACUACUUAACAUCUUCUGACUGACAAGAAGCUCACGGUGAUGAGAAUGCUUUUCUGUGGUUGACUACGUCCUACAAAUGUGAGAUUCAGAGCUAGCAAGAGGGCUGACAACCUGAGUUCAAGCCCUGGGACUCACAUGGUGGAAAGAGAGAGCGAACUUCUGGUACCUUCUGGUACUAUCUUCUGAGAUCCCCUGUGCAUGCUGAGACACAGCCCUCUCCCCUUUCCCCAGAUAAUAAUUGAGAUAUUAAAAAUAAAAAAGCAACA